rnacentral:rRNA from 1 species
UACGUAGGGUGCAAGCGUUAAUCGGAAUUACUGGGCGUAAAGCGUGCGCAGGCGGUUUUCCAAGACAGAUGUGAAAUCCCCGGGCUCAACCUGGGAAUGGCAUUUGUGACUGGAAGGCUAGAGUACGGUAGAGGGGGAUGGAAUUCCGCGUGUAGCAGUGAAAUGCGUAGAUAUGCGGAGGAACACCGAUGGCGAAGGCAAUCCCCUGGACCUGUACUGACGCUCAUGCACGAAAGCGUGGGGAGCAAACAGG